rnacentral:lncRNA from 1 species
AAACAUUCUAUUGUCAUCCGACAUCAAACUUGUCGUUAUGAAAGAUUCCCCGGGAGGGGCGGUUCCCCUUUCAGCCCCGUAGGAAACACCAGGUAGGGAGGGGCGGUUCCCCUUUCAGCCCCGGAGGAAACACCAGGUAGGGAGGGGCGGUUCCCCUUUCAGCCCCGUAGGAAACACCAGGGAGGGAGGGGCGGUUCCCCUUUCAGCCCCGUAGGAAACACCAGGUAGGGAGGGGCGGUUCCCCUUUCAGCCCCGGAGGAAACACCAGGUAGGGAGGGGCGGUUCCCCUUUCAGCCCCGUAGGAAACACCAGGGAGGGAGGGGCGGUUCCCCUUUCAGCCCCGUAGGAAACACCAGGUAGGGAGGGGUGGUUCCCCUUUCAGCCCCGUAGGAAAUACCGUGUAGGGACCUCAACACUUUAUACAGGGAAAUACCUCAACACUUUAUACAGGGAAAGACCUCAACACUUUAUACAGGGAAAGAUCUCAACACUUUAUACAGGGAAAGACCUCAACACUUUAUACAGGGAAAGACCAACAUUUUAUACAGGGAAAGAACUCAACACUUCAUACAGGGAAAGACCAACAUUUUAUACAGGGAAAGAACUCAACACUUCAUACAGGGAAAGACCAACAUUUUAUACAGGGAAAGAUAACACUUUAAACAGCGAAAUAUUUCAAAACUUUAUACAGCGAUAGACUUCAACACUUUAUAAAGGGAAAGAUUUCAGUACUUUAUACUUUAUUCAGCCCCUUAAGGCAACACCAGGUAGGGAGGGGCGGUUCCCCUUUCAGCCCCGGAGGAAACACCAGGUAGGGAGGGCGGUUCCCCUUUCAGCCCCUUAAGGCAAGCACCAGGUAGGGAGGGGCGGUUCCCUUGCUGCCCCUUAUUAAGGCAAGCACCGGGUAGGGAGGGGCGGUUCCCUUGCUGCCCCUUAUUAAGGCAAGCACCGGGUAGGGAGGGGCGGUUCCCUUGCUGCCCCUUAUUAAGGCAAGCACCGGGUAGGGAGGGGCGGUUCCCUUGCUGCCCCUUAUUAAGGCAAGCACCGGGUAGGGAGGGGCGGUUCCCUUGCUGCCCCUUAUUAAGGCAAGCACCAGGGUCUUGAACUGGAGGGACAUUACUCAGAGAGUUCAUCACUGCCAGAUUAUAUCUGACAGUCAACAGUUCUGUGUGGUUUUAUUUGGAAGUUAGGAGAGAGAGCAUGUCAGAAGGUCAUGGGUCAUACAUGUUAGGGUUAGGGAUCAAAUCCAUCCCCGCUCUGGUACACAUGUGUCUGUUAGGGUUAGGGAUCAAAUCCAUCCCCGCUCUGGUACACGUGUGUCUGGAAUACACUGAAUGCUGGUUGGGUUAGGGUUAGGGAUCAUCCUGUUGUUGCAGGAAUUUUCCAGCACAGCAGGAAAUGUAAAUAGGACUGUAUACGAGGUUGAAAAACACAUCAGAAGUUUGUGAUUUCCACUUUUCAAAUGAUUUUCUUAGAUUUUUCCCUAAUGAAAAAUGUACCAACCCCUACAGAUUAAAAAAAUAAAUUAUAAUCCACAAUACAAUUUACAUUUCCUGUUGCUGCAGUAUUAUUUUCCUUCUUUAGCACACUGGCUCAAAUUAUGAUACGACAUCUGUACAGUAUGAACAGCUGGGACACAACAAACUGCACCCUGGGAAAGAUCUGAACACUUUAGACAGGGAAAGACCUGGACACUUUAUACAGGGAAAGACCUCAACACUUUAUACAGGGAAAGACCUGAACAGUUCUACAGAGAAAGACCAGAACACUUUAUACACCGAAAGAUUUCAAAACUUUAUACAGCAAAAGAUUUCAACACUUUAUAAAGGGAAAGCCCUCAAAACCUUAUAGGUCUCAACACAUUAUAUAGGGAAAUAGCUCAACACUUUAUACAAGGAAAGAUCACAACACUUUAUAGGGAAAGAUGUCAACACUUUAUACAGGGAAAGACCUCAACUUUAUUCAGGGAAAGAUUUCAACACUUUAUACAGGGAAAGAUCUCAACACUUUUUAUACGGGGAAAAAUUUCAACACUUUAUACAGGGAAAGACCUGAACACUUUAUACAGGGAAAGAUCUCAACACUUUAUACAGGGAAAGACCUCAACACUUUAUACAGGGAAAGACCAACAUUUUAUACAGGGAAAGAACUCAACACUUCAUACAGGGAAAGACCAACAUUUUAUACAGGGAAAGAUAACACUUUAAACAGCGAAAUAUUUCAAAACUUUAUACAGCGAUAGACUUCAACACUUUAUAAAGGGAAAGAUUUCAGUACUUUAUACUGGGAAAGGCCUCAACACUUCAUACAGGGAAAGAUCUGAACACUUUAUACAGGGAAAAACCAACACUUUAUACAGGGAAAGAUUUCAGUACUUUAUACAGGGAAAGA